UACGAAGGGGGCUAGCGUUGCUCGGAAUCACUGGGCGUAAAGGGUGCGUAGGCGGGUUUUUAAGUCAGGGGUGAAAGCCUGGAGCUCAACUCCAGAACUGCCUUUGAUACUGAGGAUCUCGAGUUCGGGAGAGGUGAGUGGAACUGCGAGUGUAGAGGUGAAAUUCGUAGAUAUUCGCAAGAACACCAGUGGCGAAGGCGGCUCACUGGCCCGAUACUGACGCUGAGGCACGAAAGCGUGGGGAGCAAACAGG
rnacentral:rRNA from 1 species